rnacentral:rRNA from 1 species
GACGAACGCUGGCGGCGUGCCUAAUACAUGCAAGUUGAGCGAUGAAGAUUGGUGCUUGCACCAAUUUGAAGAGCAGCGAACGGGUGAGUAACGCGUGGGGAAUCUGCCUUUGAGCGGGGGACAACAUUUGGAAAUGAAUGCUAAUACCGCAUAACAACUUUAAACAUAAGUUUUAAGUUUGAAAGAUGCAAUUGCAUCACUCAAAGAUGAUCCCGCGUUGUAUUAGCUAGUUGGUGAGGUAAAGGCUCACCAAGGCGAUGAUACAUAGCCGACCUGAGAGGGUGAUCGGCCACAUUGGGACUGAGACACGGCCCAAACUCCUACGGGAGGCAGCAGUAGGGAAUCUUCGGCAAUGGACGAAAGUCUGACCGAGCAACGCCGCGGGAGUGAAGAAGGUUGUCGGAUCGUAAAACUCUGUUGGUAGAGAAGAACGUUGGUGAGAGUGGAAAGCUCAUCAAGUGACGGUAACUACCCAGAAAGGGACGGCUAACUACGUG